rnacentral:rRNA from 1 species
UAGGGAAUAUUGCACAAUGGGCGAAAGCCUGAUGCAGCAACGCCGCGUGCGCGACGAAGGCCUUCGGGUCGUAAAGCGCUUUUCGGGGAGACGAGCAAGGACGGUAUCCCCGGAAUAAGGCUCGGCUAACUACGUGCCAGCAGCCGCGGUAAAACGUAGGAGCCAAGCGUUAUCCGAAUUCACUGGGCGUAAAGCGCGUGCAGGCGGCCUGGUAAGUUGGAUGUGAAAGCUCCUGGCUCAACUGGGAGAGGACGUUCAAGACUGUCAGGCUCGAGGGCAGCAGAGGGAGGUGGAAUUCCCGGUGUAGUGGUGAAAUGCGCAGAUAUCGGGAGGAACACCAGUGGCGAAGGCGGCCUCCUGGGCUGCACCUGACGCUCAGAUGCGAAAGCUAGGGGAGCGAACGGGAUUAGAAACCCCGGUAGUCCUAGCCGUAAACGAUGUAGACUGGGUGUCGGUGGGUUAAAAGCCAUCGGUGCCGAAGCCAACGCGAUAAGUCUACCGCCUGGGGACUACGGCCGCAAGGUUA